ACCCAGUGUACUUUGUGGUUCAAAUGUGAUGAUAUUUUCUGAUGGAAGGGGUAUGGUAAGCAGUUGUAGGUGUCGGUGGAAAAGUCUUUAAAUGCUGAGUGUGUGUGUUUUGAGUUUGUGUGAGCAAACAGAGGAGAGAAAUUAGAGAACAUGGAGAGUUUGAGGACAGAAAUAGACGAGAGUUGCAUAGGAGGAGCCGAGAGUCUGCAGAGGAGGCCGAGAUUUGAUGAUCCAGUAAGGGAAAUUCUUUUUCAGGGAUACAGGAAGAAAGUGGCGGACGACGCUCCUCCACAGGUCUUGAUGGGGAUGUUGAAGCCUAGUGGAGUUGCAUGAGGGAUGAUCAUGAAAAAAAAGGAAAAGCUGACCACGAAGAAACUAUAAAGAAGCUUAUUUGGUAAUUGUACAAGGGUAGUACUGUCAUUGCAAGAGUAGCAGUACUUGCAGAGUAUGACCAUGGUUGAUAGCUAGGAACAGUUCUAAAGAUGGGAGCUAGUUUGGAAUUAUUAGAUUAUGCUUCCAGAUUGAUAGGCUUAGUAUAUCGGACUUGGAUCGCUGAAAAAGGUCCUGUAUCCCAAAUGUGGAGAUGGCAUCCAAUUCCAAUUUCAGCAUUUGUGGACGUCUCAUAUGGGAUUGGAACUCCGUGCCGUCCGGCUAGGAUCAUAAUGACAGCGAUGCCAUAGGACAUUUUUACAUUUUCUGAAAAGGAUUGAUAAAGACCACCCACCUAACAAAAAUGUUAUAUAUAUAUAUUAAAUAUAUAUAUCUGUGUGUAUGUGUUUGUGUAGUUAUACAUGGAACCAUGGAGGAAAGUGGAGCAUUGACUAGAUAGUAGAAAAGGUUAAGGGAAGUUGAAUGGUAAACUUGAAUAUAUAUAGUUCUUUUUUCUUGGUCAAAUUUAAAAAUGUAUAAAAGAGCAAAGAUAUGCACAGAGAGGAGCCACAAGAGCAACAAAAGCCAAAUACAAAAGCCAAACCAGUAAGCAUAGCUCACAAAAACAAAAUCUCAAUGGAGCUGAGUGGAAUAGUUGCAAAAUACCCUACACCCUCAAUUGACCAACUAUGGCAAAUUACCCCUUUUGGAGAGAGAUGGAAAAUUACAUAAAUACCCAUAGUAAAAAAUAGAUAUUUUAAAAUGUACAGAGCCUAAAUUCUGCUGGUAUAUUAUUGUGUGCUAUACAGGAUUUUGAGGGUCUAGUAUUGAAGACCCAAUUGGGCGAGGACAAAAAAGAAGCAGCCUACUACUCCAAGCUGGUGAGGCAGAAAACUGUUUUCUCAGGGCCGGGAAACCACCAACAGAUAGUUGAAAUGGACAAUAAUCGACGAUAAUAGCAAUGGAUGGGUGGUGGUGGAAAUGGGUCUGACCCAUUUGUUUAAUCAGCUUCGCCCCAAAUUGCAAUUGCCUUGGAACUCUCAUGAAUAGGAUGAUUAAGAGAUGCGCUGGGAAGGGAUAGCACAAAGACUGUUUUCAGCUGCUAUUAGCUUUCUGGGAUCAUUGCUUCAAUAGUGAGUUUUUUUUAGAAAGUUAAGCAAACACAUGCCUCCAGGGAGUCUCGAAUACCCGACCUCCCAUUUAGGAAAGAGGACUUGUUGUUGGGUUUUAAUUAAAUUAAUCUAUGUAGAAAUCAAGAAUACUUAAUUAAAGACUAAUUUAGAUAUAUUGAUGACUAAAUCGCACAUAUACCUUUAGAAUAUCCAUGUAAUCCUCUCUGAAUUCCUUCAAAACAUUAGAACGCUUUACCUCCUUCUGAGAGUUGUC